rnacentral:rRNA from 1 species
AUGAUGAACGCUAGCUACAGGCUUAACACAUGCAAGUCGAGGGGCAGCAUUUCAGUUUGCUUGCAAACUGGAGAUGGCGACCGGCGCACGGGUGAGUAACACGUAUCCAACCUGCCGAUAACUCGGGGAUAGCCUUUCGAAAGAAAGAUUAAUACCCGAUGGUAUAAUCAGACCGCAUGGUCUUGUUAUUAAAGAAUUUCGGUUAUCGAUGGGGAUGCGUUCCAUUAGGCAGUUGGUGAGGUAACGGCUCACCAAACCUUCGAUGGAUAGGGGUUCUGAGAGGAAGGUCCCCCACAUUGGAACUGAGACACGGUCCAAACUCCUACGGGAGGCAGCAGUGAGGAAUAUUGGUCAAUGGGCGCAGGCCUGAACCAGCCAAGUAGCGUGAAGGAUGACUGCCCUAUGGGUUGUAAACUUCUUUUAUAUGGGAAUAAAGUUUUCCACGUGUGGAAUUUUGUAUGUACCAUAUGAAUAAGGAUCGGCUAACUCCGUGCCAGCAGCCGCGGUAAUACGGAGGAUCCGAGCGUUAUCCGGAUUUAUUGGGUUUAAAGGGAGCGUAGGUGGACAGUUAAGUCAGUUGUGAAAGUUUGCGGCUCAACCGUAAAAUUGCAGUUGAUACUGGCUGUCUUGAGUACAGUAGAGGUGGGCGGAAUUCGUGGUGUAGCGGUGAAAUGCUUAGAUAUCACGAAGAACUCCGAUUGCGAAGGCAGCUCACUGGACUGCAACUGACACUGAUGCUCGAAAGUGUGGGUAUCAAACAGGAUUAGAUACCCUGGUAGUCCACACAGUAAACGAUGAAUACUCGCUGUUUGCGAUAUACAGUAAGCGGCCAAGCGAAAGCAUUAAGUAUUCCACCUGGGGAGUACGCCGGCAACGGUGAAACUCAAAGGAAUUGACGGGGGCCCGCACAAGCGGAGGAACAUGUGGUUUAAUUCGAUGAUACGCGAGGAACCUUACCCGGGCUUAAAUUGCAUUUGAAUAUAUUGGAAACAGUAUAGCCGUAAGGCAAAUGUGAAGGUGCUGCAUGGUUGUCGUCAGCUCGUGCCGUGAGGUGUCGGCUUAAGUGCCAUAACGAGCGCAACCCUUAUCUUUAGUUACUAACAGGUCAUGCUGAGGACUCUAGAGAGACUGCCGUCGUAAGAUGUGAGGAAGGUGGGGAUGACGUCAAAUCAGCACGGCCCUUACGUCCGGGGCUACACACGUGUUACAAUGGGGGGUACAGAAGGCAGCUACCUGGUGACAGGAUGCUAAUCCCAAAAGCCUCUCUCAGUUCGGAUCGAAGUCUGCAACCCGACUUCGUGAAGCUGGAUUCGCUAGUAAUCGCGCAUCAGCCAUGGCGCGGUGAAUACGUUCCCGGGCCUUGUACACACCGCCCGUCAAGCCAUGAAAGCCGGGGGUACCUGAAGUACGUAACCGCAAGGAGCGUCCUAGGGUAAAACUG